rnacentral:rRNA from 1 species
CGUAACAAGGUCUCCGUUGGUGAACCAGCGGAGGGAUCAUUACCGAUUCUACGCUCAAAACCCCCUGUGAACAUACCUAUUACAGUUGCUUCGGCGGGCUGGCCGGUCCGCCCCCUUGCGCUUCGGCGCUCCGGGGCGGCCUGGCCCGCCUUAGACCGGCCCGCCGGAGGUCUCAAACUCAACGUCUACGCUUUUGCACUGGAAGUCUGAGUGUGACACAAAUAAGUUAAAACUUUCAACAAUGGAUCUCUUGGUUCUGGCAUCGAUGAAGAACGCAGCGAAAUGCGAUAAGUAAUGUGAAUUGCAGAAUUCAGUGAAUCAUCGAAUCUUUGAACGCACAUUGCGCCCGCCGGUAUUCCGGCGGGCAUGCCUGUCCGAGCGUCAUCUCACCACUCAAGUCCGGCUUGGUGUUGGCCGACGCGGGUACGGCGGCGAUCCGGCCUAACGGCCGGGCUCCCCACCCCCGCGCGGCUCAAAUGCAGCGGCGAAACGGUGUCGAGUUUCCCCUACGUGGUAACUAAAUCUCGUAUUGGAUGACCUUCCCGUCUCAGCCCAAAACUUCCUGGAGCCCCCUCCGGGCCCCAUCUAAGGUUUGACCUCGGAUCAGGUAGGAAUACCCGCUGAACUUAAGCAUAUUAAUAAGCGG